AGAGUUUGAUCCUGGCUCAGAUUGAACGCUGGCGGCAUGCCUUACACAUGCAAGUCGAACGGCAGCACGGACUUCGGUCGGGUGGCGAGUGGCGAACGGGUGAGUAAUACAUCGGAACGUGUCCUGGAGUGGGGGAUAGCCCGGCGAAAGCCGGAUUAAUACCGCAUACGCUCUGAGGAGGAAAGCGGGGGAUCGCAAGACCUCGCGCUCAAGGGGCGGCCGAUGGCAGAUUAGCUAGUUGGUGGGGUAAAGGCCUACCAAGGCGACGAUCUGUAGCUGGUCUGAGAGGACGACCAGCCACACUGGGACUGAGACACGGCCCAGACUCCUACGGGAGGCAGCAGUGGGGAAUUUUGGACAAUGGGCGCAAGCCUGAUCCAGCAAUGCCGCGUGUGUGAAGAAGGCCUUCGGGUUGUAAAGCACUUUUGUCCGGAAAGAAAACCUUUGCCCUAAUACGGCGGGGGGAUGACGGUACCGGAAGAAUAAGCACCGGCUAACUACGUGCCAGCAGCCGCGGUAAUACGUAGGGUGCAAGCGUUAAUCGGAAUUACUGGGCGUAAAGCGUGCGCAGGCGGUCCGUUAAGACAGAUGUGAAAUCCCCGGGGCUUAACCUGGGAACUGCAUUUGUGACUGGCGGACUCGAGUAUGGCAGAGGGGGGUAGAAUUCCACGUGUAGCAGUGAAAUGCGUAGAGAUGUGGAGGAAUACCGAUGGCGAAGGCAGCCCCCUGGGCCAAUACUGACGCUCAUGCACGAAAGCGUGGGGAGCAAACAGGAUUAGAUACCCUAGUAGUCC
rnacentral:rRNA from 1 species